UUUGGUACAAGUUACCUCGAGAAAGGCGAAACUCAACCUUCAAGAACAGCCCCAACUACAUGUAUUGAUAGUUUGUAGUGGUAUAGGGGAGUGAUUUUUGGGUACUUCUGAUACAAAAAUACACACACUUCACGAAGUGAAACAAGCACAUUAAUUCGGUCCUUAAAUCACACAUUCACCAAGAUCUAGGAGAAUUGUAGUGAACACAUGAGGACAGCUCUGUAUUAGUUAUUGGAAACUAAUCAUAAUUACUUUGUUGCCAUUUAAGCCCCACCCAGCAUUCUUCUAUUCACGGGAGUAAGAAAGCGACAAAUGAAGCCAUUUAUUUCUGAUAGACCAAAAACGUCUGGGAAGUUAGGUGUCUAAGUUAAUCUUUGGAAGGGGGUGUAUACACCUCCAUAGAUCCCUAAAUCAGUUGAUUUAAUUGCGAGGAGAGUGCGGAUGACCUGAAGUUUGACUAAGAGAUUUAGACCUCAACUGAAGCUUAUUUGUUUUUACACAAUCAUAUCUUAAGAAUUAUGUCAAUUCACAAUAAAAAAACCAAUAAAUGAAAGCUUAUAGAAUACAUACAUCCAGAACAGGCUCUAGGCACUUUCUUGACUUAUUGUCCAAGGGUGUAUCCUUUGGAGUUUGGCCAGCCUCUCCUGCUUUCAAGCAUAAGGUGGCUUACCUGUAGCCAGGAAUGAACACUUUUUGAAAAGCUUGGGAUGCUAAUGCUGUCUGCUGAGCUUGUAGUUUAAAAAUGGCUGUGCCCUCUUUAUGACUCGAGCCAAAUAUGCUUCUGGUGACUAUCUUUUCGUUCAAUGUCUGAUACUGCUUUGAUACUUCUAUUUCCACCUCAGCAGACUUGGACGAUGCUGGUAGCCAAUUAUCCAACAUUUCCAUCACACUACUUGACACUGCCGGUAUCAGGAGCUACAAAAUUCCAAGCCCAGAUAAGUAACAACUAUAUAACUAUUGCUAGUAAAUAAUUAUUCAUAUAAAGGAAUUUAUAUUCACCAGUACAAAGUAGUGCAAACUAAGUUACUAGAAAUAUAACUAGAUGAUGGAACACCUUGAGAUUAUCCAUAUAGAAAGUGGGCGCGAUGAUUUUUCUGUGGUGAGCCCAUUUAUCGCCAUUGAGGCUUAGCAAGCCUUCACCUUCAACCUGUUUCAUAAGAGGGUGAGCCUCUAUUUUUUCAUAAAGUUCCGACUUUGAGCAGAAUAUUUCUCUAAUAAAUUCUGGAUCAGCUACUGUCAGCCGAACUGUCGAACCAAACCACACCAGGAAUGUUGGUCCUGCAGUUUUUUAUGCACAUGUAUAUAUUAAUUCAGUUAAUUUAUAAAAUUCUAUCAUGCAAAAAAGCUAUUACCAGAAUAGAGUGUCGAGUAGAAGUUACUUUAUAAAAUUAGCUGAAGAACAUAGAGGUAGACUAGGACAAGCAGUUAACUUGGUGAAAGACUGCCUGAUAGUGUGGACCCUACAAUUUAGAAUGCUGACAAACAAUAAUAUAAGAGGAGAGAAAAGAAAUCAAAGAAACUGAGAAGAAGACAACCCAAAACCAAAUCCCACCAUCAUUUGCAAAUGACUCAACUGUGAACAGAAAGUCUUAAAAUCCUGGAGUAAAGUUGAUGAUAACUCUAUCAUACAAUGUAGCUCCAAAUUUUGUUUACUUUCCGGAAAGCUGAUGAUGGUGAUGGUUAUAUUUACAAAAGUGAAAGCCAGAAAUUGUGAAAAAAGAGAAAAUGAGGAAGUUUUGAAAAAAGUGAAGAGUAGUGGAGUUGCUGUGUGAACUUCCAGAGGGAUUUUAACAUCAAGUCUGAUAAGAAUCCUAGCUCAAAACAAAAGCCUAAACAAAGAACAGAUAACUUUGUUUUAUACAAACAUGUUAUUCAAAAAUAAGUUGAUAAAUCAUGUUUUCUGGAACUAAAAAGAAACACAGACAAAUUAAGCUCAUGAUCCAGGAUACAAUCAUUGAUAACUCUUGAUAAUAAGAAAGAGCAUCAAUGAUAACUAUCAGAAUGAUAAAGAGUAGAUAACUAAGAAGUACCGUAUAUUUUCUUCCAGUGGUGGUAGAAAGAGAGAACUCUUGGGAGAAUAUUGUGAGAGAAAGGAGGGAAAGACAUGGAAGAGGCCUCGAACAUAAGGCUUCCAAUUUCCUUUGCAUUGCCUAUGAAGAAGUGAUAUGGGGGACCUCUUAUUCCUUGUUUACUAAAAUGUUGUUCUAUCUUUCUUGGUCUCCACCACAGCCUUAUAACCAUAAUCUUGACCACAAAAUAUAUCACCAUAACACACACAAUCGACGAGCACCAGCUGUUCAUCAUAUUCUUCUUCUUCUUCCCUGCCCAAACCGGCCUUCUAAAUGCUUUUAUGUUGACUUAUGUAGAUAUCACACAUAUUCUUGUGCUCUUUUUAUAUUUUAUAUCUUUGAUAUAUAACUAAUUGCUUUGGUGAGGUGUUUCUUCUCCUAUAUAUAGUGCAACAAGCAGCAACUAGUAUAUCAGUAUAUUGUUAAGAGAGAGAAGAAAAGUUUGUUUGACACGCCAAUAGCAAACAUAAGUUAAAUUUUGCUCUCCAUGACAUGGUCCAUAUAUCCUUUUAGUAUCUGUUAAGAAAAAGAAUACGACAUAAUUAAAUGUCUAGUUCGAAUAUGAUAAAAAAAAAAGUUAAUAUCUGUAUAAUGAACAAUGAGGUUGAUAAAUGUAAGGAGAGGUUAGUAUAUUUAAAAAUAAUAACAAAUACACAUUUCAUCGGAUACUGCAAUAAAUCUAACGCCAAAGUCUCCCAACAUGCAAACUUAGAGGAAAUCUUUUUAUCCAAUUGAUUAUUAUUGUAGUUACAACUGAAAAUUAAAUAUAGUUGACUGCAAUGUCAUGAAUGAAAGUUUAGAAGUCUUAUACAAACUCUGCACCUUAUGUCAACCUUCAUUUCUAUCUUAGUGGGGAUGACCUAUUAUGUUGAAAAUUCUCACAAGUAUAAUUGUAUAUUGCAUCAUGCCUCAUGCUUUGAACCAGUAUAGAGUCAAGGAUGAAGGAUAUAUCCAACAAGACUGGUCAAUUGUCAAGAUAGUUGAAAACUUAAAUUCAAAGAGUGUACUAGGAAUGAGAUUUUUGAUUUAGAGUUCAAUGCUUUUAUUUUUGGGAAAGAGAAACGCACCUGUACUCAAAGUACUGCUCUACUCUAAACAGGAUUAGUGUUGUGAUCUGGUGUUCAUAUGAUUGUUCUUACAAUUAAUUUAAGAGUGGAGAAUUAUUUAUUACACAAUAAGUAAGAUCACCAAGUAAUAAAAAUAUAUGGUAGAGAGUGUGAGAGCUGCCCCAGUGGAAACGGGUCCUUGCCUUGAUCCAAAGGAUCACAGUUCUGAAUCCAGGAGGCCCAGUAACAGUCAAAUUUUAUACACUUUGCAAAAAUGCCUUGCAACAUUAAAAAUCACAUGUCGGUGCUACUGUCAAACAAAUAUUGUGUAUCUGCUUCAGAAAAAAAAAAUCUAUUUUAAAAGUUAAAAUAAGCAACUCCUGUGAUACACAUACAUGAUACAUUCAUAUACCAAACUUAUGCGUGUCGCAUACCAUAUUUUUUUGUUUUUGUUCCUAAGAGAAGAUGGUUUAAAGAUUAGAGGUGGGGGAUAAAGUGAAAUUUGUUGACAUUUUGGAAUUUAGCUCUUAAAGAAAAGGCACAUGGGAUUAAAGUUUGUUUAUUUCCGUGCUUUCUGGUGGGGGAUAUAUAUUAUGUGUUGACCCCAGCAAUGAGGUGCCUGGCAGCCUCCCUUAUUCUUUGUCUUAAUAUUCCAAGGACAUGUUUCACACUUUCAAUCAUGCCCCCUUCAUCGACCCUACCUAAAUCUGUUUUAAUAUGUACUCGGAGCUUGCAAGUUGGAUCUUUCCUAUGCUCCUAUAUAUAAGAGGAUCUAUGCUAGAUUAUGAAUUUCUUAUGGGGUGGAAUGUACGCAGGCUACUUAAUAUCUUCAUCCUAAGGAUUGUUUACAUGAGGAUUCCGUAGCAGUAAAAUAAAUUCAUUAAAAAAAACUUAAGAAGAAGACGCAUUUGAAAAACAUAUAAUCCAUAUGGAUAUCCAUAUUUUCUGAAUCUGCUUUAGCUCUCAUUGAAUGUUAAAUGCUUCAGAGAAGAUAUGUGAUGGUCCUGAAAUCCCUACUUCCCUACUUGCUGACUAGAACUACUGUUCCGCAGAAACAUUAAAGCAAACAAUUUUAUUUUAAGCGAAAAAGGAAAGUCCCCACUGAUUACAAAAUGAGAUCAGUUGGCAGAAGAUACAAGGAAAAGUACAUGAGGACAAGUUAAGAUAUGCCACAAUAAAAGAUGUGGAGUUUUCCGAAAUGUCCAAAUGUCAAUUUAUUUGAUAGAUAUAUCUAUCUCUCUCUUUUUCUAAUGCCUAAUAUUUAAAAUUUUAAUUUCAAGGACAACUGAUAUAUAUUUUAUAUAUCAUAAUAAUAUCUAUUUAUAGUGAGUGAAUUUUAUGUUUUUUUAUCUCCCAAAUAGUAGCUUUUAAUUUUUAUAAUGAUACAGUACAUAAGAUUAGAUAAUAACAGAAAAAGGCUGCCGAAAACAGUUUUCCCUUUGGCAGUGUUUUAAAACCAAGGUAUGUGGCUGUGGCAGGUGGUUUGUAGAACAAGGGGGGACAUUUGCAUCAGGUCAGGUAUGUUAUGAUUACCUCUUUUAUGAAACUUCAAUUCAUUAUGGAUGGGGUUAAUGUGCUAAUAUAUGAUCUAGAAAGAACUAUUUUUGCGCAUCAGCUUAUCAUGUUAAUUUAUCAUCAGAUUUAUAAUGUUUGUAUUUUGUAAUGGUUGAAACCUAUAUGAUAAUUUUUGAGUCAAAAUAGUUGGCUCUAUCAUAAUCUUGACACGUGUUUGUUAAAUUCUCUUGUUCGAAGUAUCUAACGGUGGUCAUUUUUUCAACCGGUGCUCAUAUUUGGAAGUAAUAAAGUACGAGUGAAGCUACUAGCCACAAGUCUAGCUUUAUAUCCAUCUAAAGUGCCAUGGGAUAUAUGCUUUGUACAGCCACUUACAUAUUGUUCAGACGUAAUAGAGAUUAAUGAUACAGAGCAGGUAGCUCACUUGGAUCAUACAGGACACUAUUGUACUGUCAAAAAUGACCAAGUAGUUCAUCCACACCCAUCAAACUGCCCUGAUCACAGACUAGAACAGGUAUUUAUGUCUUGACAAGUAGGAAUUCUAUCCCUACUGGCGGUACUGCGGUACUGUAACAGAUGUUCGUGGUGAAUGGUUGAUUGAUAUUGCUCCACGCUACUCCGAUCUUUUAAAGUUUCCCCAAUGUGAAGCUAAGAGCGUUCUUGAAAAGAUGCAGAGGAAGAUGGAGGGAGAUGUUAUUACCAAAAACACUUGUUAGUUGUUACAGCUUAAGCAGGACAAUAAUUUGCAAGACGCCCAAUCACAUAAACCCCAAAUUUUAAAGGGCUCUCAAAAUUUCUAGGCUCAUUAAAAAGAAAUGACCCAAAUUUUAGAUUUAGCAUGUGGUGUCCAAAAUAGAUGGGAACUGGGAUGAGCCUGAGCCUGUGACAUGCAGAGGUUCUACAUAGUGAACUAAGAAGAAACUCCAAAAAUUUUAACCAACAAGCUCGAGUAUAAUUGGAGAGUGAACCAAUAAGCUGCAUUUGUUUUAAUGUACUGAAAAUAUGUAAAACUAAAACAUCUAUGUAGAGUGCAAAUUGUAGACAUAUGUUCUUGAAUCAUUGAAAUUCUUACCGAGUACAUGUAAAAUGAAUCUAAAAUUAUUUUUAUAAAAAAAAUUGUAUAUUUGAUAUAAAACCGAAGAAAUAGUUUAAACUGGUAAAUUAUCA